rnacentral:rRNA from 1 species
UGGGGAAUAUUGCACAAUGGGCGCAAGCCUGAUGCAGCCAUGCCGCGUGUAUGAAGAAGGCCUUCGGGUUGUAAAGUACUUUCAGCGGGGAGGAAGGCGAUGCGGUUAAUAACCGCGUCGAUUGACGUUACCCGCAGAAGAAGCACCGGCUAACUCCGUGCCAGCAGCCGCGGUAAUAAGGAGGGGGCAAGCGUUAAUCGGAAUUACUGGGCGUAAAGCGCACGCAGGCGGUCUGUCAAGUCGGAUGUGAAAUCCCCGGGCUCAACCUGGGAACUGCAUCCGAAACUGGCAGGCUUGAGUCUCGUAGAGGGGGGUAGAAUUCCAGGUGUAGCGGUGAAAUGCGUAGAGAUCUGGAGGAAUACCGGUGGCGAAGGCGGCCUCCUGGACGAAGACUGACGCUCAGGUGCGAAAGCGUGGGGAGCAAACA